GACGAACGCUGGCGGCGUGCUUAACACAUGCAAGUCGAACGGAAAGGCCCUGCUUUUGUGGUGUGCUCGAGUGGCGAACGUGUGAGUAACACGUGAGUAACCUGCCCUUGACUCUGGGAUAACUUCAGGAAACUGGGGCUAAUACCGGAUAGGAGCUCCUGCUGCAUGGUGGGGGUUGGAUUUUUUCGGCGGUUGGGGAUGGACUCGCGGCUUAUCAGCUUGUUGGUGGGGUAGUGGCUUACCAAGGCUUUGACGGGUAGCCGGCCUGAGAGGGUGACCGGCAACAUUGGGACUGAGAUACGGCCCAGACUCCUACGGGAGGCAGCAGUGGGGAAUAUUGCACAAUGGGCGGAAGCCUGAUGCAGCAACGCCGCGUGCGGGAUGACGGCCUUCGGGUUGUAAACCGCUUUCGCCUGUGACGAAGCGUGAGUGACGGUAAUGGGAGAAGAAGCACCGGCUAACUACGUG
rnacentral:rRNA from 1 species